rnacentral:rRNA from 1 species
CCUACGGGAGGCAGCAGUGGGGAAUAUCGCACAAUGGGCGAAAGCCUGAUGCAGCAACGCCGCGUGAGUGAUGAAGGCUUUCGAGUCGUAAAGCUCUUUGAUCAGGGAUGAUAAUGACAGUACCUGAAAAACAAGCCACGGCUAACUACGUGCCAGCAGCCGCGGUAAUACGUAGGUGGCGAGCGUUGUCCGGAAUUACUGGGCGUAAAGGAUGCGUAGGUGGAUAUUUAAGUGGGAUGUGAAAUCCCCGGGCUCAACCCGGGAACUGCAUUCCAAACUGGAUAUCUAGAGUGCAGGAGAGGAAAGCGGAAUUCCUAGUGUAGCGGUGAAAUGCGUAGAUAUUAGGAGGAACACCAGUGGCGAAAGCGGCUUCCUGGACUGUACCUGACGCUGAUGAGCGAAAGCUGGGGGAGCAAACA